rnacentral:tRNA from 1 species
GCCGGGGUGGCGGAAUUGGCAGACGCGCAUGGUUGAGGGCCAUGUGGGGGCAACCCCGUGCGGGUUCAAGUCCCGCCCCCGGCA